rnacentral:rRNA from 1 species
AUUGAACGCUGGCGGCAGGCCUAACACAUGCAAGUCGAACGAGUGGCGGACGGGUGAGUAAUGACUGGGAAACUGUCUGAUGGAGGGGGAUAACUACUGGAAAUGGUAGCUAAUACCGCAUACCAUCAGAUGUGCCCAGAUGGGAUUAGCUUGUUGGUGGGGUAACGGCUCACCAAGGCGACGAUCCCUAGCUGGUCUGAGAGGAUGACCAGCCACACGGGAACUGAGACACGGUCCAGACUCCUACGGGAGGCAGCAGUGGGGAAUAGUGGACAAUGGGCGCGAGACUGAUGCAGCCAUGCCGCGUGUAUGAAGAAGGCCUUCGGGUUGUAAAGUACUUUCAGCGGAGAAGCGUUGCCCGCAGAAGAAGCACCGGCUAACACCGUGACAGCAGCCGCGGUAAUGC